UUGCAUUGGGGGGGAACCCUGAUCAGCCUGCCGCGUGUGUGAAGAAGGCCUUUUGGUUGUAAAGCACUUUAAGCGAGGAGGAGGCUACUUGGAUUAAUACUCUGAGAUAGUGGACGUUACUCGCAGAAUAAGCACCGGCUAACUCUGUGCCAGCAGCCGCGGUAAUACAGAGGGUGCAAGCGUUAAUCGGAUUUACUGGGCGUAAAGCGUGCGUAGGUGGCCAAUUAAGUCAAAUGUGAAAUCCCUGAGCUUAACUUAGGAAUUGCAUUCGAUACUGGUUGGCUAGAGUAUGGGAGAGGAUGGUAGAAUUCCAGGUGUAGCGGUGAAAUGCGUAGAGAUCUGGAGGAAUACCGAUGGCGAAGGCAGCCAUCUGGCCUAAUACUGACACUGAGGUACGAAAGCAUGGGGA
rnacentral:rRNA from 1 species